rnacentral:rRNA from 1 species
GAUGAACGCUGGCGGCGUGCCUAAUACAUGCAAGUCGAGCGAACGGACGAGAAGCUUGCUUCUCUGAUGUUAGCGGCGGACGGGUGAGUAACACGUGGAUAACCUACCUAUAAGACUGGGAUAACUUCGGGAAACCGGAGCUAAUACCGGAUAAUAUUUUGAACCGCAUGGUUCAAAAGUGAAAGACGGUCUUGCUGUCACUUAUAGAUGGAUCCGCGCUGCAUUAGCUAGUUGGUAAGGGAACGGCUUACCAAGGCAACGAUGCAUAGCCGACCUGAGAGGGUGAUCGGCCACCCUGGAACUGAGACACGGUCCAGACCCCUACGGGAGGCAGCAGUAGGGAAUCUUCCGCAAUGGGCGAAAGCCUGACGGAGCAACGCCGCGUGAGUGAUGAAGGUCUUCGGAUCGUAAAACUCUGUUAUUAGGGAAGAACAUAUGUGUAAGUAACUGUGCACAUCUUGACGGUACCUAAUCAGAAAGCCACGGCUAACUACGUG